rnacentral:rRNA from 1 species
CAGUCGCCACGGGAAUACAGAGGGUGCAAGCGUUAAUCGGAAUUACUGGGCGUAAAGCGCGCGUAGGUGGUUUGUUAAGUUGGAUGUGAAAUCCCCGGGCUCAACCUGGGAACUGCAUCCAAAACUGGCAAGCUAGAGUAUGGUAGAGGGUGGUGGAAUUUCCUGUGUAGCGGUGAAAUGCGUAGAUAUAGGAAGGAACACCAGUGGCGAAGGCGACCACCUGGACUGAUACUGACACUGAGGUGCGAAAGCGUGGGGAGCAAACAGGAUUAGAGACCCCCGUAGUCCCUGUCUCUUAUAC